AACAGAUUCAUCACUUUUGUUAGAACAACAAAUGGUAUUUGAUUUUCAAGAAGAAACAUAUCUUGAUAGACAAAUGCAUCAUAGUUUUCUUCAACUCUUGACGAUUUUCGGGUUGGCCAAAGAUGAAGAGAAGGUAAUAUAAUAUAAAACAUGCAUCUAAUAACAUCAUCUGAAUGAAUACCUUAUUUUCAAACUCAUUUGUAGAGUUUGUUUCAUAAUAGUUUCUUAAAUCUUGUACCAUAGUAUGUUCACUAAGGUUUCUGUACAAAACCCUUAGGGUUUCUUCAUUGUUUGAAACGAGUUUCAUCGUAAAAACCGGCUUUAGGUUCU
rnacentral:lncRNA from 1 species